AAUCAACGCUGGCGGCGUGCCUAACACAUGCAAGUCGAACGAGAACGGAAUAUAGCUUGCUAUAUUUGUCAGCUAAGUGGCGCACGGGUGAGUAAUGUAUAGAUAACCUGCCCUUAAGAAAGGAAUAACAGUUGGAAACGACUGCUAAUGCCCUAUAUGCCUUUAAUACAUAAGUAUGCAAGGGAAACGCUUUAGUGCUUAAGGAUGGGUCUGUAUGGUAUCAGCUUGUUGGUGAGGUAAUGGCUCACCAAGGCUAUGACGCCUAACUGGUUUGAGAGGAUGAUCAGUCACACUGGAACUGAGACACGGUCCAGACUCCUACGGGAGGCAGCAGUGGGGAAUAUUGCACAAUGGACGAAAGUCUGAUGCAGCAACGCCGCGUGGAGGAUGACACAUUUCGGUGCGUAAACUCCUUUUAUAUAGGAAGAUAAUGACGGUACUAUAUGAAUAAGCACCGGCUAACUCCGUGCCAGCCGCCGCCGUAA
rnacentral:rRNA from 1 species